UCCGCGGGAAGCGACCGAGCAGGGCUUCCCGGGACAGGGGCCGUCCCGCGGGGYGUCUCGUGCGGCGUCGUACGCAUUUGUCUCUCGUCCGAAGGACGCUGCAGCCGGUUCGGCAGUGCAAGCGCGACGGCCUGAAGGUCGGGAGCUGGCAGGUGGCCGGUGGUUCGCCUCGUGCGGUCCGCCGGUUGUUAGCCGUCCCGUCGGUGGCCCGUCGCCGGACCGUGGUGUCGCGAGUCCCCUMGUCGGGACUCCUCGUCUCCACCCCCCUGGGUAGCGGGACUGUCCGCGGCAGGAUCUUGGCGCCGACUCGCCGCACUCGUUCCCGAGUGGGCGGACGGGCGUCGGGGUUCGUUGGUCGCGGCGGACCCGUGGUGGGACCGGAGGCUGGCAGCGAGUAGGUCGGUCACCCACCCGACCCGUCUUGAAACACGGACCAAGGAGUCUAACAUGUGCGCGAGUCAGUGGGUCUUGAACAGGCCCACGGGCGCAAUGAAAGCGAAGGUCUCCCUCGGCGGAGCACCGAGUCGGGAUCCUCUCCCCCGCGGGGGGGAGGCGCACCGACGACCCGUCCUAUCCGGCUCGCCGGUUGGUCGGAGUUUGAGCGUACACGUUGGGACCCGAAAGAUGGUGAA
rnacentral:rRNA from 1 species